GGCAACUAGGGGCCAGCGGCCGUGGUAAUACGGAGGGUGCAAGAGUUAAUCUGAAAGACUGGGCGUAAAGCGUGCGCAGGCGGUAGUGCAAGACAGAUGUGAAAUGCCCGGGCUCAACCUGGGAACUGCAUUUGUGACUGCACGGCUGGAGUGCGGCAGAGGGGGAUGGAAUUCCGCGUGUAGCAGUGAAAUGCGUAGAUAUGCGGAGGAACACCGAUGGCGAAGGCAAUCCCCUGGGCCUGCACUGACGCUCAUGCACGAAAGCGUGGGGAGCAAACAGGAUUAGAUACCCUGGUAGUC
rnacentral:rRNA from 1 species